rnacentral:rRNA from 1 species
CCCUUAGAUGUUCUGGGCUGCACGCGCGCUACACUGAAGCUAUCAACACGUUUUCCCUCCCUGAGAAGGGCGGGUAACCUUUUGAAUCAGCUUCGUGGUAGGGAUCGGGGCUUGCAAUUGUUCCCCGUGAACCAGAAAUUCCUAGUAGACGCGAGUCAUAAGCUCGCAUCGAUUAAGUCCCUGCCCUUUGUACACACCGCCCGUCGCUACUACCGAUUGAACGUUUUAGUGAGGCAUUUGGACCGACGCAUCUCAGUUUAACCGCUGGUUUGUGUUGGAAAGACUUCCAAACUUGAGCGUUUAGAGGAAGUAAAAGUCGUAACA